UAGGGAAUCUUCGGCAAUGGACGAAAGUCUGACCGAGCAACGCCGCGUGAGUGAAGAAGGUUUUCGGAUCGUAAAACUCUGUUGUUAGAGAAGAACAAGGACGUUAGUAACUGAACGUCCCCUGACGGUAUCUAACCAGAAAGCCACGGCUAACUACGUGCCAGCAGCCGCGGUAAUACGUAGGUGGCAAGCGUUGUCCGGAUUUAUUGGGCGUAAAGCGAGCGCAGGCGGUUUCUUAAGUCUGAUGUGAAAGCCCCAGGCUCAACCGGGGAGGGUCAUUGGAAACUGGGAGACUUGAGUGCAGAAGAGGAGAGUGGAAUUCCAUGUGUAGCGGUGAAAUGCGUAGAUAUAUGGAGGAACACCAGUGGCGAAGGCGGCUCUCUGGUCUGUAACUGACGCUGAGGCUCGAAAGCGUGGGGAGCAAACAGG
rnacentral:rRNA from 2 species